ACCAGAAACUGUGGAUAGAGGGCAGCAAUCGCACAAAACUGAAAGCGCAAACUACCACAUUUAACCAUGGCAAGGUGACUGGGAAUAUGGCCGAAUACAAACAGUGUAGUUAUUCCCUCCGUAGUGCAAUCAAAUAGACAAAAUGUCAGUAUAGAGAAAGUGGAGUUGCAAUUCAACGGCUCAGACACGUGACGUAUGUGGCAGGGUCUACAAACUAUCAUGGACUUCAAAGGGAAAACCAGCCACGUUGUGGACACCGACGUCUUGCUUCCAGACAAGCUAAACACCUUUGUCCACCUUGAGGAUAACACUGCCACCGACACGGCCUGCUACCAAGGACUGUGGGCUCUCCUCCGUGGCCGACACGUGUAAGACAUUUAAGCGUGUUAACCCUGCCAGCUCAGACGGAAUCCCAAGCCGCGUCCUCAGAUCAUGCCCAGACCAGCUGGAGUGUUUACAGACAUAUUCAAUCUCUCCCUAUCCCAGUCUGCUGUCUGCACUUGCUUCAAGAUGUCCACCAUUGUUCCUCUACCCAAGAAAGCAAAGGUAACUGAACUAAAUGACUAUCGCCCCAUAGCACUCACUUCUGUCAUCAUGAAGUGCUUUGAGAGGCUAGUUAAGGACCACCCCUCUACCUUACCUGACACCCUAGGCUCACUUCAAUUUGCUUACCGCCCCAAUAGAUACACAGACGAUGCAAUCGCCAUUGCACUGCCCUAUCCCAUCUGGACAAAAAUAAUAUCUAUGUAAGAAUGCUGUUCAUUGACUCUAGCUCAGCAUUCAAUACUAGUACCCUCCAAGCUCAUUAUUAACUCGAGGCCCUGGGUCUGAACCUCGCCCUGUGCAACUGGAUCCUGGACUUCCUGACAGGCCACCCCAGGUGGUGAAGGUAGACAACACCUCCACUUCACUGAUCCUCAACACAGGGGCCCCACAACUCCAACUCAAUCAACAAGUUUGCAGAUGAGAACAGCAGUAGGCCUGACUACCAACAAUAACAAGAUAGUGGUGCGGUCUGCUCAAUGCAUCACCAGGGGCAAACUACCUUCUCUCCAGGACACCUACAGCACCCAAUGUCACAGGAAGGCCAAAAAGAUCAUCAUGGACAACAACCUCCUGAGCCACUGCCUGUUCACCCCACUAUCAUCCAGAUCGCGAGCUCCAUCAACUCCUCAAAGCGUUUGAGCUGCUCUGACUCACAACUCGCCACUGAAGCCCCAGCAUCUCCUGCAGCUCCUGCCUCAGACUCAGUUUCAUCUGCACCAGGACAUUCAAGCCUCUAGAUUAGGUUUGAAAUGCUAACAUAACAUAAUGCCAUGAUGGCUCCCACAUAUAUAGUAAACAAACAGUGUUGGAGACAAUAUGUAACAGUGAUAUGUUGAUUCAUGAACAAACUAACUAAGAAAAAAACAGAAAGUAGCCUAUGCAAUCUUGGCGCGAUGUUUCUUCACGCACAUGCAUGUCCUGCCAUUUGAGUUGCUCUGGGAGACAGCAGGGAGAUGGUGGGGUUGGAGACUGGACUGAGAUCAUCGCUGGCAUCUGGGGCACUUUCUUCAUCAACAACACGCAUGCAGAUUGAUAUUAAGAGAAAUUUGUUAUAAUAGGUUAAUAAGAAUGUACAAAAAUGGUGUGCAGUUAAAAUAUGGGAGAGUGACUUGCCUGCUCCUCUUCCUUCUUCGACCUGGGAGUGGGCUGAUUAUUGGCUGAAGGGUAUGAGGUGCUUGAGGAGCUUGAAGAGACUGGGGUCUCCUCAGACAGGCUAGGGCUUGGGUCACGGGAAGCAAAAAAAAGGUCUUUUGAAGGGGACGAGGGCUUACAUUAAGCCUCUUCAGGAUGACGCCAGAGAGCGGGGACAAGCUGGGAGCUUCAUUACAACCUGACAAAAUUUCCUGCCGGAGACAUGAGAAAGGAUCAUAAUAAACUAGCUAGCAAUAUCACAUUUAAUGCAAUGAAAGGCUGAUUUCAAAUAUGUAUCUAAAUCUUAGACAUGUCAUAAGCUAGUCUGAUUAAUCAUCCUGUAAUACACAAUUCAUUGGUAUAUACAACCUGAGGCAUUUGUGUGCAAAAUUGUUUAAAAUAUUCCUUACAAGCCAGAAUGCUGAAUAAAAUUACAUUUAAAUGUA